GAGAUAUUAGUUAAUUAAUAACCUUACUUUGUCAAAGUAAAAUUAUGGGCUAACCCCCAUAUAUCCCU
rnacentral:tRNA from 1 species